rnacentral:rRNA from 1 species
AGAGUUUGAUCCUGGCUCAGAAUGAACGCUGGCGGCGUGCUUAACACAUGCAAGUCGUACGAGAAAUCCUUGGCUUGCCAGGGAGAGUAAAGUGGCGCACGGGUGAGUAACGCGUGGGUAAUCUACCCUUGGAUUCAGGAUAACACUUCGAAAGGGGUGCUAAUACUGGAUAACAUCCUGAUGGUUUAGGCCAUAAGGAUCAAAGAUAGCCUCUACAUGUAAGCUAUUGUGCAGGGAUGAGCCCGCGUACCAUUAGCUAGUUGGUGGGGUAAGAGCUUACCAAGGCAACGAUGGUUAGCUGGUCUGAGAGGAUGAUCAGCCACACUGGAACUGAAACACGGUCCAGACUCCUACGGGAGGCAGCAGUGAGGAAUUUUGCGCAAUGGGGGAAACCCUGACGCAGCAACGCCGCGUGAGUGAAGAAGGCUUUCGGGUCGUAAAGCUCUGUCAAGAGGGAAGAAAGUGGGGAAUGGUAAUACUAUUUUCCAUUGACGGUACCUCUGAAGGAAGCACCGGCUAACUCCGUGCCAGCAGCCGCGGUAAUACGGGGGGGUGCAAGCGUUAUUCGGAUUUAUUGGGCGUAAAGAGCGCGUAGGCGGUUUAUCAAGUCAGAUGUGAAAGCCCUGGGCUCAACCUGGGAAGUGCAUUUGAAACUAGUAGACUUGAGUAUGGGAGAGGGGAGUGGAAUUCCUGGUGUAGAGGUGAAAUUCGUAGAUAUCAGGAGGAACACCGGUGGCGAAGGCGACUUCCUGGACCAAUACUGACGCUGAGGCGCGAAGGCGUGGGGAGCANACAGGAUUAGAUACCCUGGUAGUCCACGCAGUAAACGGUGAUCACUAGGUGUAGCGGGUAUUGACCCCUGCUGUGCCGCAGUUAACGCAUUAAGUGAUCCGCCUGGGGAGUACGAUCGCAAGGUUAAAACUCAAAGGAAUUGACGG